rnacentral:rRNA from 1 species
UACGUAGGUGACCAGCGUUGUCCGGAUUUACUGGGCGUAAAGAGCUCGUAGGCGGUGUGUCGCGUCGGCCGUGAAAACCUGCAGCUUAACUGUGGGCUUGCGGUCGAUACGGGCAUCACUGGAGUUCGGCAGGGGAGACUGGAAUUCCUGGUGUAGCGGUGAAAUGCGCAGAUAUCAGGAGGAACACCGGUGGCGAAGGCGGGUCUCUGGGCCGAAAUUGACGCUGAGGAGCGAAAGCGUGGGGAGCAAACAGG